AUGAAUUGUUUGAGUUGGAACUAUCGAGGGCUUGGGAACCCUGAGAUAGUUUGAGAGCUUCGCAAAGUUGUGAAGCAGGAAGGUCCCUCCCUUCUGUUCGUUAUGGAAACAAAGAUUCAAGGGAAACAUGUUGAAAGUCUGAAGAAUCUACUUGGGUUUACUGGCUGUUUUGCUGUUGAUAGCAUUGGUCUUAGUGGAGGCAUUAGUCUGUACUGGAAUGAUAAUGUACAAGUUGAACUCAAGAAUUACAGUCAGGCUCAUAUUGAUGUGUAUGUCAAGGGGAAUGAUCAGACAGAACCUUGGCGUUUCACAGGUUUUUACGGAGAACCCCGAGCUGAAAAUAGACACCAUAGCUGGGAGUUUUUGCGUACUUUGCAUGGCAUUCAACACCAAGGGUGGCUAUGCAUGGGCGACUUCAAUGAGACAAUGUAUGCAUCCGAGCACUUUAGUGAGCACCCAAGAUCAGAGUGGCAAAUGCGCUCGUUUCGUGAAGUUGUUGAUUUUUGCUCCUUCCAAGAUCUUUGA
rnacentral:rRNA from 1 species